GGUCAAGGGGUUAAGACACCGCCUUUUCACGGCGGUAACACGGGUUCGAAUCCCGUA
rnacentral:tRNA from 2 species